rnacentral:tRNA from 2 species
UAGAAUGAGGUUCGAAGGAUUGAGCACUUAGCUGUUAACUAAGGUUUUGCGGGAUCGAGGCCCGUCUUUCUAG